GCCCCAGUGGCCUAAUGGAGAAGGCACCGGAUUUCUAAUCCGGGGAUUGUGGGUUCGAGUCCCGCCUGGGGUU
rfam:Drosophila pseudoobscura pseudoobscura strain MV2-25 chromosome XL unlocalized genomic scaffold ChXL_group1e, whole genome shotgun sequence.